GCAUCUAAAGAGGGAGUAAGAUCAUUAACCCUUGGAUCUAAUGUUAGGUUCCAGAGUUAAUGCUCUUACUCCCUCUUUAGAUGC